rnacentral:rRNA from 1 species
GACGUAGGGGGCGAGCGUUGUCCGGAUUUAUUGGGCGUAAAGAGCUCGUAGGCGGUUCGAUAAGUCGGACGUGAAAUCUCCACGCUCAACGUGGAGGGGCCGUUCGAUACUGUCGUGACUCGAGUCCGGUAGGGGAGUGUGGAAUUCCCGGUGUAGCGGUGAAAUGCGCAGAGAUCGGGAGGAACACCCGUAGCGAAGGCGGCACUCUGGGCCGGUACUGACGCUGAGGAGCGAAAGCGUGGGGAGCAAACAGG